GAUGAACGCUGGCGGCGUGCUUAACACAUGCAAGUCGAACGAAGCACUUAAAUGGAUUUCUUCGGAUUGAAGUUUUUGUGACUGAGUGGCGGACGGGUGAGUAACGCGUAGGUAACCUACCUCAUAGCGGGGGAUAACUAUUGGAAACGAUAGCUAAUACGGCAUGACAAUGGAGGACCCAUGUCUUUCAUUUAAAAGGUGCAACUGCAUCACUAUGAGAUGGACCUGCGUUGUAUUAGCUAGUUGGUGAGGUAACGGCUCACCAAGGCGACGAUACAUAGCCGAGUUGAGAGACUGAUCGGCCACAAUGGAACUGAGACACGGUCCAC
rnacentral:rRNA from 1 species